GAUCCUACGGAGGUGGAUCAGGAUCCUACGGGGGUGGAUCGGGAUCCUACGGGAGUGGAUCAGGAUCCUACGGAGGUGGAUCAGGAUCCUAUGGGGGAUCAGGAUCCUACGGAGGUGGAUCGGGAUCCUACGGAGGGGAUUCGGGCUCCUUCGGGGGAUCCCGGCAGCGCCCCGGCUACAAGAACCCCGGGAUCCCCUUCGUGCCGGGGCUGCGGCACCCCGCCCGCAUCGGGGGGCGCCUGCCCAUCCGCCGGGGGCCGGGAUCCGGUCCGGGAUCCGGUCAGGGGUCCGGUCAGGGGUACAGCCAGGGGUAUGGUCAGGGAUCCAGACAGGGAUCAGCCCUGGAAUCUGCCCAGGGAUCCGGUCAUGGAUCCGGACAGGGAACCAGUCAGGGAUCGGCCCUGGGAGCCGCCCAGGGAUCCAGUCAGGGCUACAGCCAGGGAUCCAGUCAGGGCUACAGCCAGGGAUCCGGUCAGGGAUCCGGUCAGGGAUACAGCCAGGGAUCCGGCCAGGGAUCCGGUCAGGGAUCCGGUCAGGGAUCCGGUCGGGGAUCCGGUCAGGGAUCCGGUCAGGGAUCCGGUCAGGGAUACAACCAGGGAUCCGGUCAGGGCUACAGCCAGGGAUCCGGUCAGGGAUCCGGUCAGGGAUCCAGGGCCCAGCCAGGAUCCAGCUCCGGGGAAGGGUACGGGUGUGGGGGGUGUUAGAAAUAGGGGAGGGGUCCCAGAGGGUCCCAAAAGAUCCCAGAGGAUCCCAGAGGGUCCAUUGGGGAUGGGGAUGGGUGUGGGGGGUGCCGGAAAUAGGGGAGGGGUCCCAGAGGGUCCCAAAGAUUCCAGAGGGUCCCGGAGGAUCCCAAAUAAAGCCUCGGAUC
rnacentral:lncRNA from 1 species